GGAGGGUGUAGCUCAGGGGUAGAGUGUGUGCUUAGCAUGCACGAGGUCCUGGGUUCAAUCCCCAGUACCUCCA
rnacentral:tRNA from 1 species